CCAGCACCCCGAGUGGUCGGGACGAUUAUUGGGCCUAAAGCAUCCGUAGCCGGUUUUACAAGUCCUCCGUUAAAUCCAACUGCUUAACAGAUGGGCCGCGGAGGAUACUAUAAGACUAGGAGGCAGGAGAGGCAAGCGGUACUCAGUGGGUAGGGGUAAAAUCCGUUGAUCCAUUGAAGACACCAGUGGCGAAGGCGGCUUGCCAGAAUGCGCUCGACGGUGAGGGAUGAAAGCUGGGGGAGCAAACCGGAUUAGAUACCCGGGUAGUCCCAGCUGUAAACGAUGCAGACUCGGUGAUGGACCAGCUUCAUGCUAGUCCAGUGCCGCAGGGAAGCCGUUAAGUCUGCCGCCUGGGUAGUACGGUCGCAAGACUG
rnacentral:rRNA from 1 species